rnacentral:rRNA from 1 species
GUUCGAUUCGCGGUAUGAUUGGCUUCGGCUGAACAGGCGCUUAUUAGACGUUCUUCCUGCUGUGGCGGUAUGACCUGGUGAACCGUAGUUCAUGCACGACUUGGCUUUUGAAUUGGCUUUGCUGUGUGAAGUAGAGUGACAGUUUCGGCUGUCGAGGAUCGA